CAGCUCGUCAGGUGCAGGAGGCUCAAAGUCCAGGCUGCGAUUGUAAGCCACUGCUGUUGAGGCUCAACAGCGUGGCUACCCAGGUGGUGGUGAAGUAGACGGUCCCAAAAAAAGAAACUGCAAUGCAAAGUGGAUUAAAAAAAAGAAAGGAGAACCCCUGACUGCGGUACACAGACCAAGAUUUUUGCUAUUACCUUUUUAAAAUUUCAAUUCUAUUACUGAACUUCAGGAUUUGGGGAAUAUUAAGAUGCCAACCAGGUGUAAAAUGUUUGACCUUCCUUUUGUGGAGUCACCCUGUGAGGUGAGGGGAAAGUAACCAUUCAUUUUAUUUAAUGCGUUUUUUUUUUUUACUCAUUUCAGUUUGUUCCAUAUGCUUUGGGCAAGAAACCUAGUGGUGGAGUACAAAAACGUCAGAGACUUGGGUUAUUAACAACACUACCACAGGGACGCAGCUCGUAUCACCAACGGAAAGCUUAUAAUGUUUUGAAUGGCUUGGUAGUCCAAAAUGAUGGUGCUGUAUGUUCUGUAGUGUAAAUUGCUUGAAUUGUAUGUGCGUACCCUGUAAAAAUGCACUGUAAAUACACAUGUCUGUGGACAGUAAUUAAAACUGCUUGAAAGAACUGUCAUCUUGACUGAAAGUGAUUUUUGUUGCAGUGACAAAUGGGAAUGUUCUAAAGAUUCAUUUAAAUGGAUAUUCAAAAUUGUUCAAUGUAAUGUUGUUGCUGGCAUAAUGACUCUGAAAUUCAAACACUUCAAUGUAACCCCCACCCUCUAUGUUAGGGCCUUGGUGUUAAAAUGUAUUCCUUUUUACAAUUGUACUUUGUAAUUGCGACUGUAGAUUAAUAAAGUUAAUGUAUUCUGGAAUCUUGUAGGAACCACCUGCGAUUGCUGAUUAUGGGUGGUCGACCUCAAAUGACGGAACCGUCCAGGUUAAAGGAAGCUUAUGGAUCUUGGGUAGCAGAUGGGCGAGGCUUGGGCUCUUCAUCCAGGUAUUUAUGUAAUGCUUGUCGUGCAGGCUGUGUCGCUGUUAAAAUGUCUUUAAACCUUAACUGUCUGCUUCCAGUAUGUCCUUGUCUGUAACUUUUUGGGCUCCCUUUAUCUGCUGUUUAACUGCUGUUCAAUGUUUUAAGAAUAGGUGUAUUGCUGAUUAAUGUUGGUCUGUGUAAAGAGCUCUCGGUGUUGCCAAGAUUUUUCCUGCUGUGUUCCUUAUUUAUUUAUGUUGUGACUCGAAACAGGGUGGUCAAGAAAACAUAACUGGCUCCCUGAAGUCAAGCUAAUUCUGCCUCCUGUGAGAAGUGUAGAAAUGACCUCUGCCCUCCAGCUGACUUGGGGUUUUGGUGAGGUUAGUAUCUUUUCCUCAGUACUGUUUUGUAAUACUUGUUGGGAGGGCUGUUUGAUGGCUCUAAUAACAUGUGCCUAACUGACUCCCCAGUAUUGCUUUUGUUAUGCUUGCAGGCAAAGUACUGUUGUGUUCUCUGGAUGGUCCUACAUCAACCUAAACGGCUCGUGCUUCAGGGCCUCCAAGAAGUGGUCCAGCAGCUUCAGCCUCCUGUGGACUGAGCCAUUUGAGCAAAAGUUAAGACUUUUUUUUUUCCCCCAGUCUUUUUAUCAUUCAAGUUGUGGCACAACUUUCUGAUUCUAUUGUAUGGCCCAAAGAACUAUUUUGGCUCUUUGCACUGUAACAUAAAAUAGUAAAUGGCAAAAAAUUGGUACACUAAAGUCAUUUCUGCUGAAUUUGUUGCCCAUACUGAACGAAAAUUAGUUAAGAACUUUCUGCUGCGCAAAUUUAUGAAGCUAAUCAUUUCAAGAAACUUUUACUUGCAACGAAGAUACUCCGCUGCACGUAUGCGCAUUUUACCGCCGCAGACGUGAUUUCCGUUGAGGCGGACGCUAUAAGUGUGAAGCAAGCGCUGCUCAGUCCAGAAGGUAAGUUUCAGCUACCCUUGCACGAUAAAAUGUUAGUUGAUUUAGCAAACUUACUCUGCAAUUUGCCAGUCUUUAACUGUUUGUGGUUAACUUGUUAUUAAAGUCUAGCUUGAAUGUUAACAGCUAGACUGUCACAUGUGGAACCCUCUAAAAUUACAUUAAAUAUAAAUUGCCUUUCAGCAGACUGCAUGCUUAAUAGGUUCAAUGAUAAUUUGUCAAUCUUUCAGCGUAAUGCUUUAAUUCGGUAUAAAUGGUUUUUAUUUUUGUCUAUGGUACGGUAACGCAUGAUUUUGAAAGAAGCAACCUCAUCAGGAAAAACUUUACUCUUUAUCACUUGGUUAGGCCUGACUCAAGUUAGCCAGGACCAGUCCUUGGUUAAGCUGUUGUAGGCAAACUGCCUGACGACUUCUUAGGACACACCAAGCCCAGCUUACACCUUCCACAAUAAACCAGGUCUCCAUAGAUCAUAGUUCUGUCUGUUCCUGACACCAGCUGCUGCCACCAUUAUUUUAAAUAAAAUUCAUAUUACUGUCAUCAUAUGCCAACAUCACCCUUUCCUAAAGUCUUUACUCUCCCUCUCCACAGAAGCUUCUGUUGAUGGUGGUUCUGAUGAUGAUUCUCGUCACUGCAGUGGUCUUGCCGUAGACUUGGCCUGCUACUUGCAAUUAUUUGUAUCAUUUGUGUUACAGGAUUUGAAUGUAUUGUACAUCCUUUACAAUGUUAAUUCUAUACACAUGCCAUUCAUUGCAGUAUUUCUAUCCUGGGAGAGGGAUCCUUCCAGAUGGUCUCACUAAGGUCUUUCUGCCCCAUUGAAGGAUUCAUUUGUGGAAGUUUUUCCUGUGUGAAUACAAGCCAGGAUGCAAGGUGAUGACAUCUUGUCAAUGUUUCACAAAUUUUCUGAAUGUUUUUGGUAAUGUUGUCUUAUUACUUGCAGGAGAAGCCUUGUGGGAGAAUUUCCAUUGCACUGCAACCGAUGGCAAUUAGCUCACGGUAAGACUUGUUUCUUUUAGUUUAUUACAUGUUUUAACUUAUGUCCAAGAAUAAAAGCCUUUGACUACAAGAAGUCGCAAACUUGUGAAUGUUUCAUGGAUUAUUCUGGCUGUGUUGAGUAAUGUCUUAUUACUUGCAGGAUGCCUUGGGCAGCAUUGGCCUUGUGAGAAAACUGCAACUGUGCUGC